CUCCCUCUCUCUCCAGCAAUUCUCCAUGCCCUAGGUGCAAGAAACCCUAGGGUUUCUUGCCGUUAGUCCAUAAAAGGAAAGAGAAGAAGGGGAGGCGCUAGCCCCUUCCCCCUUGCAGCCGCCUAUCAGAUCUGCUCUCCCCCUCUUGCAGGCACCCAAACACUAGGUCCAAGAUCUGAAAUCUCUUGAGAAGAGGUUGGUACAAGUUCUUCUCAGAUCUGGAGUUGAUCUGAGGUCGUUUGAGGCAUGAGUGAGAUCUCCAUCAACAGAUCUACAAGAAAGGCUGUAGCAGGAC
rnacentral:lncRNA from 1 species